CGCAUCUGUGCAUGCAGCAUAUCAAUAAGCGGAGGAAAAGAAACUAACAAGGAUUCCCCUAGUACGGCGAGUGAAGCGGGAAGAGCUCAAAUUUGAAAUCUUAAAGGGUUUCCCUUUACGAAUUGUAGUUUAAAGAAGUGUUUUCUGUUGAGGUUUUGGUAAAAGUUCUUUGGAAUAGGACAUCAUAGAGGGUGAGAAUCCCGUAUUUGACCUUUACUUUCAACUUUGUGAUACACUUUCAAAGAGUCGGAUUGUUUGGGAAUGCAGUCCAAAAUGGGUGGUAAAUUUCAUCUAAAGCUAAAUAUUGGCGAGAGACCGAUAGCGAACAAGUACCGUGAGGGAAAGAUGAAAAGAACUUUGAAAAGAGAGUUAAACAGUACGUGAAAUUGUCAAAAGGGAAGCGUUUGACACCAGUGUUGUUUUUCUGAAAAUCAAUUAAAGAACUGUUUAUGCUAAGUUGUUUAGACUUUAUCAGCUAACUGUUUAGUUUUGAGCUUUUCUUUAAUGCACUUUUCAGUUAACAAGUCAACAUCAAUUUCUUUUGCUGUAAAAAAGCUUGAGGAAGGUGGCUUGAGAUUCGUCUUAAGUGUUUAUAGCCUCUUGCCUAUGCAGUCGGAGAGAUUGAGGUCUGCAGCGUAGAUCCUUCGGGGCUAAAUGCAUUUGUGCUAAGUUAUAGCAUUUUAUAGACAACUUGUUGACUAUGAUUUGUCUUGUAGCUUACUCGCUUAUGUUAUUUUACCUACGCUUAGGAUGUUGAACGCGCACAGAGUCUC
rnacentral:rRNA from 1 species